AUGAACGCUAGCUACAGGCUUAACACAUGCAAGUCGAGGGGCAGCAUUUUAGUUUGCUUGCAAACUAAAGAUGGCGACCGGCGCACGGGUGAGUAACACGUAUCCAACCUGCCGAUAACUCGGGGAUAGCCUUUCGAAAGAAAGAUUAAUAUCCGAUAGUAUAUUAAAACCGCAUGGUUUUACUAUUAAAGAAUUUCGGUUAUCGAUGGGGAUGCGUUCCAUUAGUUUGUUGGCGGGGUAACGGCCCACCAAGACUACGAUGGAUAGGGGUUCUGAGAGGAAGGUCCCCCACAUUGGAACUGAGACACGGUCCAAACUCCUACGGGAGGCAGCAGUGAGGAAUAUUGGUCAAUGGACGAGAGUCUGAACCAGCCAAGUAGCGUGAAGGAUGACUGCCCUAUGGGUUGUAAACUUCUUUUAUAUGGGAAUAAAGUAUUCCACGUGUGGAAUUUUGUAUGUACCAUAUGAAUAAGGAUCGGCUAACUCCGUGCCAGCAGCCGCGGUAAUACGGAGGAUCCGAGCGUUAUCCGGAUUUAUUGGGUUUAAAGGGAGCGUAGGUGGAUUGUUAAGUCAGUUGUGAAAGUUUGCGGCUCAACCGUAAAAUUGCAGUUGAAACUGGCAGUCUUGAGUACAGUAGAGGUGGGCGGAAUUCGUGGUGUAGCGGUGAAAUGCUUAGAUAUCACGAAGAACUCCGAUUGCGAAGGCAGCCUGCUAAGCUGCAACUGACAUUGAGGCUCGAAAGUGUGGGUAUCAAACAGGAUUAGAUACCCUGGUAGUCCACACAGUAAACGAUGAAUACUCGCUGUUUGCGAUAUACAGUAAGCGGCCAAGCGAAAGCAUUAAGUAUUCCACCUGGGGAGUACGCCGGCAACGGUGAAACUCAAAGGAAUUGACGGGGGCCCGCACAAGCGGAGGAACAUGUGGUUUAAUUCGAUGAUACGCGAGGAACCUUACCCGGGCUUAAAUUGCAUUUGAAUAAUCUGGAAACAGGUUAGCCGCAAGGCAAAUGUGAAGGUGCUGCAUGGUUGUCGUCAGCUCGUGCCGUGAGGUGUCGGCUUAAGUGCCAUAACGAGCGCAACCCUUAUCUUUAGUUACUAACAGGUCAUGCUGAGGACUCUAGAGAGACUGCCGUCGUAAGAUGUGAGGAAGGUGGGGAUGACGUCAAAUCAGCACGGCCCUUACGUCCGGGGCUACACACGUGUUACAAUGGGGGGUACAGAAGGCAGCUACCUGGCGACAGGAUGCUAAUCCCAAAAACCUCUCUCAGUUCGGAUCGAAGUCUGCAACCCGACUUCGUGAAGCUGGAUUCGCUAGUAAUCGCGCAUCAGCCAUGGCGCGGUGAAUACGUUCCCGGGCCUUGUACACACCGCCCGUCAAGCCAUGAAAGCCGGGGGUACCUGAAGUACGUAACCGCAAGGAGCGUCCUAGGGUAAAACUGGUAAUUGGGGCU
rnacentral:rRNA from 1 species